AAAAAUGCUCAGUACCAGAGAAACCGCAAAUUCAGACAUUUGGUUUAUGUACUUAGGUUUAUGUACUUAGCCAAUCAGCCAGUGAUGCGAUGCUACAUCUGAAGGAUUACAGCUGAACGUCUCUAAGUCUGAAUCUCG
rnacentral:ncRNA from 1 species